AUUGAACGCUGGCGGCAGGCCUAACACAUGCAAGUCGAACGAGUGGCGGACGGGUGAGUAAUGUCUGGGAAACUGCCUGAUGGAGGGGGAUAACUACUGGAAACGGUAGCUAAUACCGCAUACCAUCAGAUGUGCCCAGAUGGGAUUAGUUUGUGGGUGGGGUAACGGCUCACCAAGGCGAAGAUCCCUAGCUGGUCUGAGAGGAUGACCAGCCACACUGGAACUUGGACACGGUCCAGACUCCUACGGUAGGCAGCAGUGGGGAAUAUUGCACAAUGGGCGCAAUCCUGAUGCAGCCAUGCCGCGUGUAUGAAUAAGGCCUUAGGGUUGUAAAGUACUUUCAGCGGGGAGGCGUUACCCGCAGAAGAAGCACCGGCUAACUCCGUGCCAGCCGCCGCGGUAAUAC
rnacentral:rRNA from 1 species